rnacentral:misc_RNA from 1 species
AAGACUAUAGACCUGCGGAGUACCUGCGGAAGGAUCAUUAUUGAAUUAUGUUUCUAAAUGGGUUGUAGCUGGCUCGUCAGAGCAUGUGCACGCCUGUUUGGACUUCAUUUUCAUCCACCUGUGCACCUAUUGUAGUCUUUGGUUGGGUAUCAAGGAAGUAGUCAGCCUAUCAGCACUUGCUGGAUGUGAGGACUUGCAGUGUGAAAGCUUUGCUGUCCUUUACUUGAUCAUGGAGUUGUU